CCUAACCGCUUUUCAUGUAUCAAAACAAGACAGCGACUUUUACGGGUUUUUCUCGUCUCGCUCACAGCUAACUUUACUGUUCGAUCCGCCCCCCAAUCCCCCCUCUCUGUGUCUCUGGUGGUGAUGGCGGAAGGGAAGCCCAAGAGCCCGUUCGGAGUCUGGAGCACCAUCAAGCCCUUCGUCAAUGGAGGCGUCUCCGGCAUGCUCGCUACCUGCGUCAUCCAGCCCAUCGAUAUGGUCAAGGUGAGGAUCCAGCUGGGGCAGGGAUCAGCUGUCGAGGUUACGAAGAACAUGCUUGCCAAUGAAGGGUUUGGCUCCUUUUACAAGGGAUUAUCAGCUGGUUUACUAAGGCAAGCUACCUAUACAACUGCACGAUUGGGUUCCUUUAGGGUGCUGACAAACAAAGCUGUCGAGGCUAAUGAUGGCAAACCACUGCCUUUGCUUCAGAAAGCUGCUAUUGGUCUAACAGCUGGAGCAAUUGGAGCAUCUGUGGGAAGCCCAGCUGAUCUAGCACUUAUCAGGAUGCAAGCCGAUGCAACUUUACCUGCAGCACAACGACGAAACUACAAAAAUGCAUUUCAUGCACUAUAUCGUAUCAUUGCUGAUGAAGGGGUUCUGGCUCUAUGGAAGGGUGCAGGUCCAACAGUAGUAAGGGCAAUGUCAUUAAAUAUGGGUAUGCUUGCAUCUUACGAUCAGAGCGUUGAACUAUUCAGGGAUUCCCUUGGUUUCGGCGAAGUUAGCACUGUUCUUGGGGCAAGCGCAGUUUCAGGGUUCUUUGCAUCUGCUUGCAGUCUACCUUUUGAUUAUGUGAAAACACAAAUACAGAAGAUGCAACCUGAUGCCAACGGGAAGUAUCCUUACACUGGGUCUUUAGACUGUGCCGUGAAAACGUUGAAGUCUGGUGGCCCCCUCAAAUUUUACACUGGAUUUCCUGUCUACUGUGUGAGAAUUGCUCCCCACGUCAUGAUGACGUGGAUAUUCUUGAAUCAGAUUCAGAAGGUUGAGAAGUCUUUGGGCCUAUAGAAUCCCACCUUAUCGGAUCGUCGAGGAUGAUGCCAUUGUGACGAACGGAGGUGGCCGCCGCAUCAGCUUCAGCGCCACGGGUUGAGCCCGAACGGGACGGACUGUCACCAUCGCCGCUCUCAUAAAAUCUGGCCGGGGCCAUCACGGUUCGACUCGAUCCAAUCAUGUGGGAGGGUUUCUUAUCAAGUCCGCGUGAGUUCCUGCGGGUGUUCCUCUCAGAGUGGCCCAUAUCAGCCUUGUAGCAUCAACUGUUGCUGCCGUGACUUGCUUCUCCAUUUCUAGCUUUUCCAGAUUCGAAAUGUCUGCUGCUCUUCGGAGGGAGUCACCUAACUGCGCCAAUAAUUUAAGAAGCUGAAGGCAUGCCACAGGAGCAACGGUGGCCCCCCAAAUACUAGAACAAGAUUUAGAUAGGGGUGGCGAAGACAAGCCCUCUCCGGCGUGGAAAUUGCGGAGGGCUGAUUGUAUCCCAGACGACUGAGGGAGUGCAGCCGUGGAUUGUGUACAAACAUGUCACGGUUCGCCAUGAUUCCCCAAACGUCAUCGCUCCUGUGGUGCGAGGAAGUUGAGUAUGUUCUUUUCGUGUUGCGUGUGACAACGUCGAUGAGAUACGAACAUAGGUGGCGGGAUGGUGACGCGAAGGAGAUGGCAUCGAGUUGGCAGAAAUGGACGGAUGAUGAGGUGGACGGAGACGUAUAGUAUGUGAAAAAUGAGUGAAUAGAAAUGUUGGGGAAGAAAGAUGAGAAGGCACGAGGGAGAAGUCGAGAUAUAUAUUUUUUUCCAAAGAAUGCCAAUGUGGUCCAUCGAGGGAUAUUCUUAUUGUUGGCUUAGAAGAAAAGAUGAUGAUUUUUGUAAAAAAAAUUAUGUUUUAGAUAUUUCUUAA